rnacentral:rRNA from 1 species
GUCGAGCGGGCGUAGCAAUACGUCAGCGGCAGACGGGUGAGUAACGCGUGGGAACAUACCUUUUGGUUCGGAACAACACAGGGAAACUUGUGCUAAUACCGGAUAAGCCCUUACGGGGAAAGAUUUAUCGCCGAAAGAUUGGCCCGCGUCUGAUUAGCUAGUUGGUGAGGUAAUGGCUCACCAAGGCGACGAUCAGUAGCUGGUCUGAGAGGAUGAUCAGCCACAUUGGGACUGAGACACGGCCCAAACUCCUACGGGAGGCAGCAGUGGGGAAUAUUGGACAAUGGGCGCAAGCCUGAUCCAGCCAUGCCGCGUGAGUGAUGAAGGCCCUAGGGUUGUAAAGCUCUUUUGUGCGGGAAGAUAAUGACGGUACCGCAAGAAUAAGCCCCGGCUAACUUCGUGCCAGCAGCCGCGGUAAUACGAAGGGGGCUAGCGUUGCUCGGAAUCACUGGGCGUAAAGGGUGCGUAGGCGGGUCUUUAAGUCAGGGGUGAAAUCCUGGAGCUCAACUCCAGAACUGCCUUUGAUACUGAAGAUCUUGAGUUCGGGAGAGGUGAGUGGAACUGCGAGUGUAGAGGUGAAAUUCGUAGAUAUUCGCAAGAACACCAGUGGCGAAGGCGGCUCACUGGCCCGAUACUGACGCUGAGGCACGAAAGCGUGGGGAGCAAACAGGAUUAGAUACCCUGGUGGUCCACGCCGUAAACGAUGAAUGCCAGCCGUUAGUGGGUUUACUCACUAGUGGCGCAGCUAACGCUUUAAGCAUU